CAUGCAAGUCGAACGAUUAAACUUUCCUUCGGGAAAGAUAUAAAGUGGCGCACGGGUGAGUAACACGUAAGUAAUCUACCUUUGGAUGGGGAAUAACAGUCGGAAACGACUGCUAAUACCGCAUAAUGCAGCGGCACCUAAUGGUGACAGUUGUUAAAGUAUUUAUACGUCUGAAGAGGAGCUUGCGGCAGAUUAGCUAGUUGGUAAGGUAACGGCUUACCAAGGCGACGAUCUGUAUCCGACCUGAGAGGGUGGUCGGACACACUGACACUGAAUAACGGGUCAGACUCCUACGGGAGGCAGCAGUCGGGAAUUUUGGGCAAUGGGCGAAAGCCUGACCCAGCAACGCCGCGUGAAGGAUGAAGUCUUUCGGGAUGUAAACUUCGUAAGAAUAGGAAGAAUAAAUGACGGUACUAUUUGUAAGGUCCGGCUAACUACGUGCCAGCAGCCGCGGUAAUACGUAGGGACCAAGCGUUGUUCGGAUUUACUGGGCGUAAAGGGCGCGUAGGCGGCGUGACAAGUCACUUGUGAAAUCUCCGGGCUUAACUCGGAACGGUCAAGUGAUACUGUUGUGCUAGAGUGCAGAAGGGGCAAUCGGAAUUCUUGGUGUAGCGGUGAAAUGCGUAGAUAUCAAGAGGAACACCUGAGGUGAAGACGGGUUGCUGGGCUGACACUGACGCUGAGGCGCGAAAGCUAGGGUAGCAAACGGGAUUAGAUACCCCGGUAGUCCUAGCCCUAAACGAUGAAUACUUGGUGUCUGGAGUUUUAAUUCUCCGGGUGCCGUCGCUAACGUUUU
rnacentral:rRNA from 1 species